GACGAACGCUGGCGGCGUGCUUAACACAUGCAAGUCGAGCGGUAAGGCCCUUUCGGGGGUACGACGAGCGGCGAACGGGUGAGUAACACGUGGGUGACCUGCCCUCAGCUCUGGGAUAAGCCUGGGAAACCGGGUCUAAUACUGGAUAUGACUCCAUGACGCACGCUGGUGGGGUGGAAAGCCUUGUGCGGCUGAGGAUGGGCCCGCGGCCUAUCAGCUUGUUGGUGGGGUGANGGCCUACCAAGGCGACGACGGGUAGCCGGCCUGAGAGGGCGACCGGCCACAC
rnacentral:rRNA from 1 species